UACGAAGGGGGCUAGCGUUGCUCGGAAUCACUGGGCGUAAAGGGCGCGUAGGCGGCCGUUCAAGUCGGGGGUGAAAGCCUGUGGCUCAACCACAGAAUGGCCCUCGAUACUGGAUGGCUCGAGACCGGAAGAGGUUGGUGGAACUGCGAGUGUAGAGGUGAAAUUCGUAGAUAUUCGCAAGAACACCAGUGGCGAAGGCGGCCAACUGGCCCGGUACUGACGCUGAGGUGCGAAAGCGUGGGGAGCAAACAGG
rnacentral:rRNA from 1 species